AACUUCUGUAUGUUCUAGCAAUACCCAAACACUUGGAGUGUCUGCCAGCACCUUGCUUGUUCAUACCUCUGUGCCUUUGCAAAUGCUAUUCCCUCAAUCCAAGCAUUCCAGCUGCUUAGUUUCCCUCAGAGAAGACCUUGUUAACUUUGGGGGAAUAAAUAAACAGGUGACCAUAUAAUCAAGGACUGACAGUACCGGGAUCACUUCCUGUCUUCCUUGAUUCUCCCUUGAAUCCUUGUCUUACGCCCUUUCACUAAGUUAUUCAAGGAAGAUUGUCAAGUGCCACAAGGUCACCAGGAAACGCACUCUGCAGUCCAGAGGGCACAGAGAUGGGCACAGCACAUGCAGUCACUGAAGAGCCCACCUGCUCUCACUGCACCUUCCAGCAACGGGAACACCCCUAACUUAAUGCUAAAAGCCCACCUGCAAUCAGAGAUGACCUGUGGAUACACAGGUCUAUGGCAGUCCAGAUCGAAUCCUUUCUUUUUCACAAGUAGUAAAUCGUAAGGAAAACCUC